rnacentral:rRNA from 1 species
GUUAUAGGAUCAAGCGACUAAGUGCAUAUGGUGGAUGCCUUGGCGAUCACAG